CCUGCCACAAUAUAAAUUACCGAUCUGAAAAAAAUAUAAGUAUAUAGAAAUACAUAAAAAGUUAUAUGAAAAACUUCUAGAAAAAGCGAAAAAUUAGUGAAUAUGGAAGUUACAGUGGAAAUGGAUGGAAUCUCACUUGAACUUAGAGAGGUGUAAACAUCUUUUAUCAAUUUAGCAAUUAUUAUUGCCCUAGGGAUAGAAAUAUUACUUCACAGGGCGUCGUCGAUAGGAAUAUCUAAAAAUCACACAACACUGAAGAUGCCAGCCAUACGUGCUAACAAACCGUCUGUCUGCAGCAAAGUCCUAUCGACGACGGAUUAAAAACUUGAAAAUUGUUCACAAUGGAAAAACCCAGAAAAUUGCAAGUAAAUAAGUAAACUUACCCUUUAAGCUCG